UUCAGGCCUGGCUCAAGCUCUUGUAGAAGAGCCCCCUCCUCUUCCUCAGUGAUGAACACCGUCCUCACCGCCACCUGUGAGCAGAGUCUCUGCACAAGCUCCGGGCUUGACCCGACGAUGACAGCCUCAUCUCGGAGAGUUUAAGGAUGUGAGGACACAAAGGGAAGAGUGGCAACACCGAGAAGAGUGACUGCAGAUUUUGCAGUUAUGUCCAGUGACCACUGGAGGGCAGUGAAGACUCAUGAUUGUGAAUACACUCAGGGUGUCCUUCGUCUGGCUCCAUCCAUGGUCAUGAACUGGCUGGGCUGCCAGCUCUUUACUGUGUGUAUGUGUUAUAUGUGCAUGUGCUCUAUUCAUUAACUUUAUGAUCAUUAUCCUUUUUAAAAGCUUGUAUCAAUGUUGGUGUCGUGCCAGAAACCAUCUGUUACACUGCCUCUUUACCAGUUAGACUAAGCUUCAGUUUAUUUAAACCAGAUGUUCUCAAUUAUUUUAUCUGCCAGGAACCCGUUACAAGAGAAUAUACCGGACAUGUGUUGGAAUAAUUUGACAUAACCUAUUUCUUACACUUCUAUAGUCUUAGUUAUGUGAAAGAACAGCAACAGAGAAAUUAAUUAGAAAGAUAUUAGACAUGUAUUACACAUAUUUGCACCAUCCCAACAGGGAAUAACCAUAAAGCAAUGCAAUUGACAUCAAUGCAUUGAUUUCAUUAGCUGCAAAGAACACUUUAGCUAGACAAAAUGCCAAAGGCAAAUCAAGACAAAAAAGCUAUUUUGAUGUGUAUUUCAGAACAUACACACACAUACAUACGAUUUGUUAGAUUAGAAUGUAUUAUAUGAAAUAUUUUAGAUAAUAAAUAUUAUUGUAAAUCUUUAUUUUUACAAAAGGCUUCAGCCUUCUUUUUUUUUUUUUUACUAAGAUUUUAUAUCAUGAUCAUUUAAAUGUAUAAAUCUAAAAACUUUUAACUGAUCCACUGGCAAAGUAUCACGGACCCCACCCAGAAAUAAAGACAGCAUCUGACCCAAUUUUCUACGGUUGGACACGUCUAUCUUCAUGUACCUUACUUUGUACUCUGGUUAUGUAAAGAUGUAUGUUAUGGAAAGUGCAAAAUAAAAAAUUUGACACAUACUGAAAUAUAUCAUUAACUGAUAUAUGGCUGUUAACCAUCAUUUGCUGUGUAUGAUAUGGACCAAUCUUGCAGAGGUUUACAUGUAAGUCUGCAUUGGGUCUGCGGAGGACCGGGUUCAGCAGGGGCGGAGUGCUCUACAUGCA